AGUCUCUCUCCCCCCCCCCCCGCCCCGUUUUUCUCAGAUUUUUCAACUGGGGUAGAAAUGGGGGAAAUUUCCUUGUGAGGAGAAAAAUGCUUUCUCCGCUGAAGUAUUAUUAUUAUUAAUAUAUAUAUUUGACAAGGACUUUAAGCUCACUUGCUUUAGCAUUAGUUGUACAUUAUUCAAAUUAUAUAAUAAAUAAUAAUAAUUCAAUUUCUAUAGCGCCCUUCCAAAAAUGGCUCAGGGUGGUUUACACAGAGAAAUAACAAACAAAUAAGAUGGAACCCUGUCCCCUCCCCAAAGGGCUCACAUUCUAAAAAGAAACAUAGAUAGACAUCAGCAACAGUCACUGGAAGUACUGUGCUGGGGGUGGAUAGGGCCAGUUACUCUCCCCCCUGCUAAAUAAAGAGAAUCACCACGGUAAAAGGUGCCUCUUUGCCCAGUUAGCAGGGGUUAUUGCUUUGUAUCACUACUGCAGCUUGUAAGUUUAAUGGGUGGAUAUUGUUUCCUUGGGACUGUGGAUUGAGGCAUGUGGUGUCUGGUAAUAUCUCUGUUAUCUCCUCAAUUGCAGAGAAGCCAUCUCUUAAGGUUACAAAAAGGGGAAUCAGGGUAGGGCUGCCAUCUGGAAAAAGAGGACAGAUCUCUUGUACCUUUAAGAAGAUACAGAGAAGUGAAUUUCAGCAGGUGCAGCUUGUUAUGUGGAGGAAAUAAAAGCUGCAUCUGCUGAAAUUUCCUCUUCUGUGAAUCUAAUAAAGGUACAGAACACCUGCCCUCUCUUCCAUGUGGCAGCCCUUAAGCUGGGUGAUCAGCACCAGACCUUUCAAGCUCAAGCAUCCCAUAGAAUGCUGGGAUCAGGAAGGAUCAUUUUGAUCCUUCACCUUCCAGAUAGGUAAGGAUGGGAUGCUAGUCCUUUAAAAUGUGGGAUUAUAAAACUGUAAAGGAGUGAAACAAAAAUUAGUAGAGCAGAUGAUGUAGUAGAUCAAAUUAUGUGGAAUUAAUUUUGUGAGUAUUUGAUGGGCUUCUAGGCCGCUAUACUUCUCAGUGGUAUAACUGGAUCCCUCUGCAGCCAGCAUUCCUGAAGGGACUGGCGAGGGAGAAGUCUCUACUGGCUAUCAUUUGGGUGGGCAUAUGUUCUGCACAGAACUGUAGCUGGCUGGUUUAGUGGUAACUGCAUUCCCCAUUAGCUGUCUUACACAGCUGUCUUGUGUGUGUGUGUCUGUCUGUCUGUCUGUCUGUCUGUGUGUACCAGAGAGGGCAGGAGGCAGCAAUUUCUGGCCGCUGCUGUGCACUCUGCCACACUCAGGUAAGUCUUAAGGUAAGUCUUAAGGGGUGGGGGGCUUAAUAUGCUUUUAUUGGUCAGUAAAAACUUUUUCUCCCCAUCAGCUUGGAUCAAUGUUUGUAGCUGACUGGAGUUCCAGAAGCAGAUUAAAUCCAUUGCUGUUAUCACAGAUGUAUUUCACACACUGAAAUUAACACAGUUUAUGAAGAAAAGGAAGGGUUGGGCUGGAUGUGGGGCAGCCUGUUGAACCAAUUUUAAACCAUGUUUUCUCUCUCUUCAACUAGUCUUGAAAUUCACAGGCCUUACCAAAGCCUGCCCUUAUCCAGGGCAGGCCUGUUAUCUCCCCAGUCUGUGCCCUAGCCUUGAUGUUCUGUGCUGGGCCUCCCCAUGUCUCUUCCUUUCCAUCAUCAUAAUAAUUAGACAAAGCAGCAUCUAAUACAAUUGUUUCAGCUCGAGCAAGCAAUUAGGCCAGGCAGCAAGGCUAAUGAGCACCACUCUUCCUCCUCAUCAGCCUUCUCCUCCCCGCUCCCCACUCACUCCACCUUGUCCACUAAGCAAAGCUUAUUGCUUCAUGAGCUGCACUUUCUAACAUUCUCUGGAGCUGGCAACCAGAGCAACCCCAAGGUCGUCCUGGGCUGUAGUAUGCACACAUGCAUGUGUGUGCGCACACACACACCCCUAGACAGGAGGGAGUUAUGCAGCUGGCAGAGAGCUGAAGAAUGCAGACCUGAAAGCUGCACUAUAUAUGUGUGCAUCUGUGUGGCUGAAAGCCUUUCAGAGUUCUAGCUUUGGGCAAGGACUAGGUAAUAGUAGGCUGCACAUUGUCUAUGAACAUGGGCUGCUGUCAGGAGAUUCCUCUCAGGAAAUACUGACACAUGCCAGGAGCAGGUGGCUGGGCUGGCUCAACUUGUAUUGGAGAUUCCCUCAAUAAUUGCUUAUGCAUGCUGCCAACUGUGGGUCAGGAUCCUGUGGCAGAGCCAUUAGCUAGCCAAGGAGCAGCUGGAAAAUGUGCAAGUCAGCUUCUCUGUGAAAUAAACCUGGGUUCUUGGAUCCAAAGUGCUUCUCCAACCCCUCCUGGCAGACUUGGUGCCAGUUGUUGCACAGGAAAAAUGUGCUAAACGGCUGUAGGGAGAAGGGGAGAGGUGUCAUGGACCAUGCCUGCAAAGAGAAUAGGUCAUUCACCUGUUCAAGUACUCUGAGGAUCAGAGAUCAUUAAAGAACAAGCAUAAAUCUACACUAAAAUUGUAUAGCACUUUAAUACUAAUUUAACUAUAAUUGAGCAGAUGGGUUCAAAGAACCUGGGCCCCGCCACUCGUGAGGGCCCUCCAGCUCCACCCCUCCCUAUUUUCUUCAUUAUCUCCCUCACUUACUCCAAGGGGUCACCGGGGAGGGGUGAACACAGGCCCCCUCUCCCUUUGCUGCGCCCCUGUUUAAUGGUCAAGGUUUCCCACAACAAAUCUGUACAUGAACAUAUCACUCCCCCCCCACUCCCGCCAGUAGGUCUGACAUCAUCUUUGAAGAAAAGGCAUAGGGGGACAGGUUAAACAUCCUGUUACACUCUUGAUUCUCACUUCUGAGUGAGGAGAUGUUUCAGAUGAAACAUGUGUACAAAAUACUUUCUGAAAUGAAGUGAAAAUUAAUUUCAGAAAUGCUUUGGAAUUUGCAAAAUGGAAUAGGAUUUCCCCCCACAGAAGUGAAUGGGGUCCCCCCCUAAAAAAUCACCACUUGGUCCUAGAGCCUUGAAACUUGCCACACAUGUGGAUAAGGAUUUCAGGGGGCCCUGUAACAAAUCUACAACAGUCAGUCCCCAGAUUUUUGAUGAAUUUUCAACAGAAUGUCCUUUUCCCUCCACAUGGGGUGUGUGUGUGGAAUGAUGGUCCAAGGAGUGUCUUCAGAUUCAGAUGGUUUUGUAAAGUUCUAGCUUUAAACAAGCCAGAUCUCCUCAUUUUUUUAGCCCUUAAAAACAAAUUCACCCAAAACCAGAGGACUGUCCAAUUCUCUUCAAAUUUACUACUGGCAGCCCCGAUCUUCUUGCACACGUGUGGCAAGUUUCAAGGCUCUAGGACUAACCAGUGAUUUUGCCCCCUGCACCCCCGAUUCCCCCAUUGUCUGCUAUGGGGGAAAAUCCAAAUUUAAGUUGGAAUUAAGCUGCCAUUUCUAUAUCAGUUGGGUUCUGCUCUGCUUGUAAAGGUUACACAUUUUGAAAAGUGUAUAUGGGAUUACAUUGACACUUCUAUCACGGCAUGACAGCAAUGAGCAAGGAAAGCUGGGGUUGUGCACAGCUGUUGGGAAAGACAAGAUACAUAUGGGCACUGCUCUGCCUGAGUGCAUGUGAUUCAUGUGCCCAAUAGGCAAGCCCCACCCUGUCCUCAGCAGCCUCUCCAGUAGUUUGGCACAAGCGGUCUGCAGCUCCUUUGCUCAGUAUUCAUAAUGUCGAGCACUAACAUGGGGGUUUGGUGAGUGGGGGGCAGAAGAGAUCUUAAGGGGUGCUGGCCUGGGCAGUCUGGAGUCAGUUGGGGGGCAUAUUCUUUUUGGAUGUGCAUGGGAGGUUUUCAUUGGGCACCUGUUUGCAGCAGAGGUGCAUUUUACCUUCCGAGCAUGACUUCUAGUGGGCCCUCUUGCCCUUCCUUGCUGCGUUUAGUGGUUGGGGGGGGGCGUUCUUUGGCUUGGGCACUGCUUAGGGCAUCUUCUUUUGGAUUGCCUCCCCCUUUUCCCUCUGAUUCUUCAUUCCCCCCUUCCCACUGGAGACAGAACUAGUCCAAGCUUUUGAGUAGCAGAAGGGGAAGUAGGGCCAGGGUACAGGUGGGCCCCAGCCUGCUCUGAAACCUGCUUCUGGUAAGCAUGGCACUUCUACUAAUGGGCAUUCACAAUUAUUACAGGAGAUGAGUGCCAGGCUUCUGGCCUUGAAGAGAGCAGCUGACACCACUUCAUCACUACACUUACCAGCGGACUCAGACCUAGUACCUGUGCCAAAUGCUUCCUACAGUGAUGUGGGUCCCCUGGUGAAGAUGACUGGAAUGUAUUAUACCAGCAGUGGACUAGCUCUGUAGCUAAUGUUUUGCAGCUUACCCUUAUAACAUGUCUGCUUGGUCAGCUGCAACAUUGGUCGCACAGGAACCAACCAAGACAUCUGCCACGCCUUCCACUCUUCAACUUUCAACUUUCAGCGUGGGAAAAGAAAUGGGCUUCAUAUAAAAAAGUAGUUGCUGGGGUGUGUGGGCCUCAGUCUGAGUUGCCUGAACUCCCAGCAGUGUCUGAGGUGCCUUCACUGCCCAUUUUGCUUGGAAAUUAUCCUCACAGGAAUGUUUCCAUGCCAUCUUCCAGGUGACCAUCUUCUCCUGUCUCCAAAGAAGAAAAGAUGGGAAAAUGUGUUGAUAUUUUCUCUGCUUUUUUUUGCGAACCUGGCCCCAAGGACUUUGACAAAUCUGACAACACAGAACAGGAGAUGGUCAACUGUAAGCCAGUGGACUGUAACUGGACCAAUUGGCUGGCAGAAUAUCUUGUUUAUAUGGGAGUGGUGCUCCAGAAGCGACUAGGGCAUGGUCCCUCUUUGGUUAAAUAUCUUGCCAUAUUAUAUCACAAAUUUUCUGAGUUUAGCAGGCCAGCUUGGGCUAGGUAUGAUGAGUUAUUAUUUAUUUAUUUAUUUAUUUAUUACACUUAUAUCCCGCUCUUCCUCCAAGGAGCCCAGAGCGGUGUACUACAUACUUGAGUUUCACAACAACCCUGUCACACAACCCAGUGAAGUAGGUUAGGCUGAGAGAGAAGUGACUGGCCCAGAGUCACCCAGCUAGUAUCAUGGCUGAAUGGGGAUUUGAACUCCGGUCUCCCCGGUCUUAGUCCAGCACUCUAACCACUACACUCUCCCAUGGGAUGGGCAUCAGCCCCUGUUGUGGCUGCAGAUUAGAUCAUCCAACUGCCCCAUAAAGAGAGAUUAUUUUGAUAGUGGCAGUCUACUGGUAAUCUUUACCUCUCCCAUUGACACUGCUUUCUUUUUCAGAUGGUAACAUGGCAAGCCUGCCAGUCUGCAUUCUCAUUUGUGGCCAUAGCUUCAUGUUUUGGGCCAGUUGCUUGGCACUCCAGCAUUGGCACCCAGCUGGCUGUGGUAGCGGUGGAGCAGCUAGGCCAGAGGGUGAUAUCUUGGAGCAGCAUUUUGCUUCUACCUGAUGAGUAUACUACGACAAAUUGAUCCCCUGACAUUCUGAUUGUGCACCUUGGUAGCAAUGACUUGGAUAGCAAUGACUUAAAGGCAAGACCCUGAUUUCACAGGCCUUAGCAGAUGUUACUGUUCUGAGAGCCUGUUGGCCUGCAGUUCAUUUGUUAUAGUCUAACCUCAUCCCCAGAAGCUCGUGGUGAUGUGAGAGUGACCCUAGGAUGAUCAACAGAGCCCUCAGGAAAGUCAAUGGGGAGAUUGGCAGGGCACUUCUCUCACUAGGUGCUGGCGUAAUUGCACAUCCUUCAAUCAAGUUUCACUUGUCCUGCCUUUGUUGGAGAUGGAGUUCCAGUGCAUCGACCUUUUGCACCAACUAUCCUAAUGAUCACUAGGGGAAUUGGGAGUAGAAAUAGUGAGUAAGGGUCUCCCUAACUGUUCUACCUGUCUACUCUAUGACCCCUGAUCUGACUCUUCCACACUUCCUGUGCUGAGUCACAAUCCUUCGUUUCCUACUAGAGAGAAGAUGGAAACAUCUCUCUCCCUUCUUACCUAUUCAUUAUGUAGUCCUUUCGAUUAGGAUUAGGUUUUUCCUAUCCAAGUGUACUUACCCAAUAAAUACUUAGUAUUUAGUUCUACAAGAAUCUCCAGGUGUUUUCUCUAAAUAAGUGCAACAACUAAACCAUCCCCUGCCAACUACUCUGUAACUGGAGUGUGUGCUCUCUUCCUUAGUGCUCUGCUUUUUACCUUCUGGGGGUAAAAUUAACCGCCCCCAACAACCUUUACAGAGUGGAUGGGGUUCAUUGUUUGGAUGUGGGUAAUGAUUUGUUUCUUAAGGAUUUGCAAUGGGCCUUGUUUAAACUGCUUAGAUUUUCUGGAGAAGAAGGCUAAACUGAGGUUUGCCUCCUUUUGUGGCAGGGGAGUGCAGGCUGGGGUGGGCAGAUUUGGUUAAUUGUGUACAACCAGGGGCACCAUUAGGUGAAGGGGAACUCUAUGGAACAGCCCCCCAGAGUUCUGUAGCUCAGGGUGGCUGGGAAUGGAACCACUUGGGGAGUUGCUUGGCUCACCCACACAGUUUUGUGACUUGUGGGGUGGUGAUUCGUGCAACCCUUUAGAGGAAGCCAGGAGUUUUAGGACUGCUGGCAACUUGCUGACCUGGUAGUUUCACCCUGCAGUGUUAAGUGACUCUCCAUAGGAGGUGCCUUUCACAAGUAGAUGCCCGCACUCCAAUUGAAUUUGUGUUUGUGCCAUUGCAUUCCUGGAAAUAGUUAAUAAAGUGCAGUCUUAGUUAACCCAUUUAUAUUUGUGUUGUGUCUUCCUUGGGGCCUAGGUGCAAUGCACAAUGCAAAAAAUAAAUUUUAAAAAUCCCCAACCUGUUUCUCCAAAGGGGACAAUUAAAAUGAAUAAAUAACCAGCACAGAGUUUAAAAAAAGAUAUCCACUAGUCCAAUGCCCUGCUCAGAGCAGGAAUCUGCUACAAUACCAUCCCUGACAGAUGGUCAUCCAUCCUCUGUUUGAAAAUCUCCAGUGAAAGAGAGCCCACCACUGCACCAGGGAGAUUGUUCCACAGUGAAACAUUUGCUGGAUUAGGAGCAUUAUUUGAUUAGUCUUUAAAACAGCACUGCUUGUACUUCCUUAUCCUAGAUAUCUUAUUCCUUCAAAUUCUGUUUUUUCUGUUAUUGCUUUUUUUUUUUUUAAGAAGGAAAGCAUGACUACAAAAAGUAUUGUAUGGUUGUGUUGCAAGGGUUACUGUAAAGUGUGGAGAGAAAGCUGAGUACAUGUAGUUUCUGCACUGACAUUUUUUAAAACCCUGAAGCAGACACCCAGGCUGCCAUUUCCAGUGGGAGACAUGUUGUGGGGGUGGAGGGUGGGGUGGAAUCUUAAUCCAAUAAUCUCUGACAAGUUUCUGCCUCCAAACUGCAUCACUAAUCUCAUAAAUAAGAAAAUGUUGACCAGAACUGAGGCUCAGUAUUUCAGGUUCCGUUUACAGACUCCUGGAGGAAAUACAUCCUUUCCAGGAGCCUUUCAAUCCUAAGGGAAUCAAUUAGUUAAUUAACCUCCAAUUAUGGUACAGAAUAUUAUCAGUUGCUGACAAAUGCUGACUUCUAGGUAGGAAUGAGAAAACAAAGUGUUACAAUGCCCCCCCGCCCCGCCCCGCCCCCCGCCUUCUGUUUGAUACUGCAGCCUGGGCAAUUACUUUAAACAAAAAAGAAAAACACUAGGGGAAGAAAGCACUACAAGUGAGUAAUGUAAUGCUUAGUUUGCAACUUGGAGCGUAUGCAUCAUUAACAUACAUUUAUUCUGCUUCCAUUGUUUUUCAUAUUUGUGUUAGGGUGUUCCCCCAUUUCUUUUUCUUAUAUACAUACAAAUUGCUAGUGUAUAAUCUUCUAUAAAGGAAAAGUGAGUGUAUAAUAUUUUUAACAGCAGUAAUUUACCAAUUCUAGCCAUAAAUCUAUUUUCAGAUUGUCACAAAAUAACAUGACCAUCUCUAUAUGAUCUAAUAUUCUUUUACAAGAAGUCAUUUAAUCUGGGGAUAUCUCAAUUCCUCCAGUUUAUUGCAACAAAGUAGACCUGACAAUGGGAGAUCUGUGACUCAAUUCCCCCACCACUUUUAAGACAAGAUUUUAAUAGCAGCUAUUGGCAGGGAGUAAAUUCAUUUUGGACCCUGGCACUGGGGGAUUUCCUAAUGAAAAUUGGCCCCCAGAGUUAUUUAUUCUUCAGGGGGACAUCAUGCAAGUACUCAGCCGGAGUAUCCCAUUAGCUGGUGCCCAGUAUUUGAUUUUUACUAUAACAGCAUUCAGAAGGGGUACACUAGAUAAAACAAAUGGCGUUUAGAAUUAUUUGAGAAAAUGCUAUCAUAUCCUCAUGGGCCCACUGCUUUGUUGUCUUUUUUGCACACCCCCAUUGGGCCAUAGUCUGCUGGGUCAGGAAAGUUAAAUGUCUGUGUGGUGGUGGGGAAACAUUUGAAUAUGUGACUGAGAGGCACAACUCCAUCCAGAAGAGAGCAGACGCAUUUCCUCACAGGAGAAGGGAGCAAAGAGAAGAAAUGACAGCAGAUGGAGCUGCUGUGACUGUUACUUCUUGUUUCUAGUCCCUGAUGAUGGUGAAUGAGGUGAGCUGGUUAUUGUGGAUACUUUUUGGAGGGUAGUUCCAGGAGUUACCCUGCUAGAAGUAGGGUCUGAUUAAUUUGGGCUUGGACCUAAACCCUCAAAUAGCUAAUGGAGUAAAACUGUCCAACCUAGAAAUGAAAUGAAAUGUGGGCAAACUUUCAAAAUCAGAAUUUUGAUGAAAUCAGAAUUUGAAAUUCAACUGUUUUAUAUUUCUUUCAUUCAUAGAACCAAACUGCAUGAAUUCAAUUGCAAGUCAGAUGCUAGAGAGCAUUUAUAUGCUUUGAGAAUUCAAAGUACUUCACUGGUCGUAUUCUCUUCUUGGAAACCUGAGAACAUCCCCAUAAAAUAGGGCAGUAUCCCAAUAUGAUGGAGAUGGGGACUGCAGCUGAGAGAGUGGAUUGCCAAAACCUAACUUAUCAAAUGAAGAUAUUAAAGAAUAACUGAGUCUGGCAUGAAUGGAUAAUAUUCAUUGGGGCUCCAGGACAUGCGAAAGAUGCAAAAGGAGUCAGGACUUUGGAAAAGUAAUUUGAUUCUACAGAGCAGCCCUCACCACCCAAUCAUCAGCAAGCAUUACAGAUGACAUUGUAAUUAUGUUGCCAAUAUGGCUUUUUGUAUUAUAUACCAUUCCUGGGUUGGCACCAGUGCCGGCUAGUGCUUCAAGUCCCACACUGGUUUUGACCUUCAAUAGGAGACAUUUUUCAGUGCUGCUUAUCUUUGCUCCAACUGUUGGAUCUCUGUUGGGUUGCAGUAGAUCAGAGACAUGCCUCCCUAUUAGCAGAAAUGGCUAUGAUAAGAUAGAGAAAUGUAUAUAUGAAUAUCUGGGUCACAUAUCUAUGUGAUCACUGAAGCAUGGAGUGGGUGCAUGGAUGAACUCUGGUGUGUGCACCUUGGACAGAUGCUGAAGAGCCCUGUCUCUUUAAGUACUACUUGCAUUGCUCUUGCCAAUAAUAUGCAUUAUAGUUAGGGAUGUACUUGGAAGUGUUUUGGCACCUUUAUUUUGAGGCUUUGAAACGCUUCGAGCUGCCCUCGCUGAAUCAUGUUGACAAGGGACACAUGGACACUUCAAAAGGAGGAAGGCAGGUUUUACCUGCCCUUCCCUUGCUCCUCCGCCCCACCCCGCCCCCUGCACCACCACCAAGUGGCGCUAUUUGUAUUCAGCAGCCAGGCUCUCUGUUUGCCCUGCUGCAUCUUGCUGGGAACAAGAAGUUUCUUGUUCCUGGCAACAUCGGGAAGGAAAUGGCACCUGAGCAUGUGUGGAUGCCAUAUGGAGUGUUCAGUGCUGCUGAAUGUUGCAACCGCAAACAGAGAGCCCGACUGCUGAAUGCAAACAGUGCCACUCAGAAGUGGUGGAGGAGCAAGGCAGGGGCAGGUAAGAUCUGCCUUCCUCCUUUUAAUGUGCCUGCUCUCCCCUCCCCGGAUGUGCACAAAACGCUUCGUGCACAUCCCUAAUUGUAGUAGAUUUCUCUUCCAUUUCCAUGCUUAUAGAAAACUGUAAUGUUCUCUGCUCAUCAUGUGGCAUGUCCAGACUGUUGUUUGUUGAUUUUCCAGAUGCUCUUGUAUAUCCCAACAAUAUAUAAAUGAUACCUUCUGAUACCACUCUGCACCAGUUUACAAUAUCUUGCACUGAUGCCCCAGUAUGUACUAUACACACAAUGCUGCAUUGCUUCUGAUUCUUACCAUAAUGUGUCAUGACACCUUAGUGAGUAUUAGUUGAAGAAUUUGUUGGAACAGGCCUCCAAUCCAAUCCAUUUUGCCCCUACGAGUCUCCCAGGCUGAACCAGGACCCUAGGCAGAUUGUCCAAAGCCAGAUACUGCCAAAAUACAAUUGCAUUUCCAUUUUGCCUAUUCCCUCCCAUCUGAUCAAACAUUUCAGUUUGAUUCACCAUUUUUUCCAUCAAUCUGUUCCCCUCUCUUCAUUGCCUCACCACCAGUGCUACCCUUCUGACUAAUUUUCCCCUCCCUUCAGAACUGCCUGUUCUAGGAUCCAUCUCUCAUAGCCUCUAUGAUUGUCAGCCAUUUCAGCUGGUACCAAAAUCUACUAUACACUAUCUAGGAACUCCAUUUGUCAGAACUCAGUGGUUUUCUUGCUCAUAUUAUUCUAUCUAUUUCUUGCUAGAUUCUACCUAUUUAGAUUCUAUCUAUUUCUUGCUCAUAACGAUUCUAUCUGAAUGUACUUUUUUAUUAAUUGCCCCAUGCAAAGGCUGUGUAUCACUAAUUUCUUCAAGUAGAUGAUUUAUUUAGAAUACCUUAAUCAAAGUGUAUUCUCUCAAUAAAAUUGAAUGUUGGUUUAUUA